rnacentral:rRNA from 1 species
AACGAACGCUGGCGGCAUGCCUAACACAUGCAAGUCGAACGAGACCUUCGGGUCUAGUGGCGCACGGGUGCGUAACGCGUGGGAAUCUGCCCUUUGGUACGGAAUAACUCAGGGAAACUUGAGCUAAUACCGUAUAAUGACUUCGGUCCAAAGAUUUAUCGCCUGAGGAUGAGCCCGCGUAGGAUUAGCUAGUUGGUGAGGUAAAAGCUCACCAAGGCGACGAUCCUUAGCUGGUCUGAGAGGAUGAUCAGCCACACUGGGACUGAGACACGGCCCA